GAUGAAGAACGCAGCGAAAUGCGAUAAGUAAUGUGAAUUGCAGAAUUCAGUGAAUCAUCGAAUCUUUGAACUCACAUUGCGCCCGCUAGUAUUCUGGCGGGCAUGCCUGUCCGAGCGUCAUUUCAACCCUCAAGCCCCCGGGCUUGGUGUUGGGGAUCGGCGAGCCUCCGCGCCCGCCGUCCCCUAAAUCUAGUGGCGGUCUCGCUGUAGCUUCCUCUGCGUAGUAGCACACCUCGCACUGGGAAACAGCGCGGCCACGCCGUUAAACCCCCAACUUCUGAACGUUUGACCUCGGAUCAGGUAGGAAUACCCGCUGAACUUAAGCAUAUCAAUAAGCGAGGA
rnacentral:misc_RNA from 1 species